rnacentral:rRNA from 1 species
GAAUAUUGGACAAUGGGGGGAACACUGAUCCAGCCACGCCGCGUGUGUGAAGAAGGCCUUUUGGGUGUAAAGCACUUUAAGCGAGGAGGAGGAUACUCUAGUUAGAACAUAGGGAUAGUGUACGGUACUCGCAGAAUAAGAACCGGCUCAAACUGUGCCGGCAGCAGCGGUAAUACUGAGGUUGCAAUCGUUAAUCGGCUUUACGGUGCUUAAAGAGCGCAUAGGUGGCCAAAUAAUUCAAAAUGGAAAUCCCCGAGCUUAACGUGUGAAGUUCAUUCGAUACUGGUUGGCUAGAGGAUUGGAGAGGAUGGGAGAAUUCCAGUUGUAGCGGUGAAAUGCGUAGAGAUCUGGAGGAAUACCGAUAGCGAAGGCAGCCAUCUGGCCUAAUACUGACACUGAGGUGCGAAAGCAUGGGGAGCAAACAGG